rnacentral:lncRNA from 1 species
UUGGGGCGGAGCCUUGCGAUGAGGAAGGAAUGGGCAAAUACGAGCACAAGCGUCCUCAAAAAUACGAGUGCUAUGUCUUCUGCUGCAAGAGAGCUUCUAAAAUCCUUCAAAUGGCCGGCCCCGAUGGGCUUAAAUGUGGCGAGGAUGUGUUUUUAUACUCUCUACGAAAGAGGUGCCUACUAGGAAGAUGCAAGUCAGCAACAUACUGAGGUGAAAUGCAUGCCAUAUAUAUGUUCUGAAGGAAAAGAAUAACACACUUGUGCAAGUCGGAACGCAACUAAUAUUGUACGCACGGAGUAGACGGUGGUCAAGUGUUUUAAAAAGUCUGAUAAUGACAUAAAUCUCCGCUAGUAAUAAUACACUAUUGGUUCAAACUUUUAGGCGACGCAAAUAAAGGUACGCAUUCUUUUA